rfam:Triticum urartu cultivar G1812 contig807932, whole genome shotgun sequence.
UUUGUACUUCCUCUGUCCGAAAAAACUUGUCAUUCAAAUGGAUGUAUCUAGCACCAAGUUAGUGCUAGAUACAUCCAUUUAAGAAAUAAGCUUAGGACAAGCUUUCUUGGACAGAGGGAGUAGAAA